GAGGGUGUAGCUCAGUGGUAGGGCAUGCUUAGCAUGCACGAGGUCCUGGGUUCAAUCCCCAGUAACUCCU
rnacentral:tRNA from 1 species